UGUUAGCUUUAACUGACAAUGAAGAGGUCAAGAAUGAAGAAAACUUAGAUGACGAAAUAUUGUUCAAUCUUCUCCUUCUUUCUGAGUUGGUGAGAUGUGGAGGGCACCUCGUUGAAUAUGUGCCUCAGAUAAUGCAGGUUCUACGGCAGACAUUGCAUCUAAAGUGCCGAGAAGGGUAUCACUUAGCAGGAUCUGUAUUAAGAUUCCUCCUUAAAUAUUUAGGUGUUAGCUUCCCAUCUGAGUAUCGAUCUUUAUCGUAUGACUGGGAUACACCCCUGACAGAGUAUUUGCCCAUAAGGCACUGGGGAGAAGCUGGUCAUAUUCACAACCUUGGCAUUAAGUGGGUGGUGGGAGCCAGGCAAAGCUGAGGAGGAAGCUAUGUUCAGAUCUCGUCCGUACUUUCUUGACCCCCUGAGCUGAAGCUGUUAAAGGAAGUUGCUCUUGGAGAGAAGGAAGUGUCCAGGGAGGUUCUUCAACAGAGUCUGAGUAUCACACUAGAUGU